GGCGUGCUCCGCGCGUCGGUCGUUUGAUAUUUCCGUCGCCAAUUAACCGCAGACGUCGCGACCUGUUCGCGGUCGGUCCCUGCUCGGAGGAGCCGCGUUCGAGCUCGUUGUGUGCGCGUUUCGGCGUGUCACCGGCGAAGGCGCGGAUCUCUGGCUGGCCGUCGGACAGUAUGCUUAACGGUGUCCGGUGUCGUCGUCUCGUACGCGCGGCAUCGGUACCGGUCAGCGACGAAUUCUUCGGGCCUCUUUCCGACCCGUCUUGAAACACGGACCAAGGAGUCUAACAUGCGCGCGAGUCGCGGGGUAUCGAGCGUACUUCGGUGCGUUCGUUAUGUUGCGAAACCCGUACAUGUUGAAGGCGUAAUGAAAGUGAAUGGGGAAGAUGGUGUUCCGAGUACACGUUCCGCGAUCGUCGGUAUCGCGGCCGGGCACCCGCAUUCCCGGGGCGUCUCAACGGCCCGUCGUUGAUGCGGACAGUCGUCUCUCGGGGCGGCUGUCGGUCGGCGACGAACCGA
rnacentral:rRNA from 1 species